CCUAGGGGGGCUGCAGUGGGGAAUAUUGGACAAUGGGCGAAAGCCUGAUCCAGCCAUACCGCGUGUGUGAAGAAGGCCUUCGGGUUGUAAAGCACUUUCAGUGGGGAAGAAAGCCUUGGGGCUAAUACCCUCGAGGAAGGACAUCACCCACAGAAGAAGCACCGGCUAACUCCGUGCCAGCAGCCGCGGUAAUACGGAGGGUGCGAGCGUUAAUCGGAAUUACUGGGCGUAAAGCGCGCGUAGGCGGUCUGAUAAGCCGGUUGUGAAAGCCCCGGGCUCAACCUGGGAACGGCAUCCGGAACUGUCAGGCUAGAGUGCAGGAGAGGAAGGUAGAAUUCCCGGUGUAGCGGUGAAAUGCGUAGAGAUCGGGAGGAAUACCAGUGGCGAAGGCGGCCUUCUGGACUGACACUGACGCUGAGGUGCGAAAGCGUGGGUAGCAAACAGGAUUAGAUACCCUUGUAGUC
rnacentral:rRNA from 1 species